CGGCGGACGGGUGAGUAACACGUGGAUAACCUACCUAUAAGACUGGGAUAACUUCGGGAAACCGGAGCUAAUACCGGAUAAUAUAUUGAACCGCAUGGUUCAAUAGUGAAAGACGGUUUUGCUGUCACUUAUAGAUGGAUCCUCGCCGCAUUAGCUAGUUGGUAAGGUAACGGCUACCAAGGCAACGAUGCGUAGCCGACCUGAGAGGGCGAUCGGCCACACUGGAACUGAGACACGGUCCAG
rnacentral:rRNA from 1 species